rnacentral:misc_RNA from 1 species
ACGUCUUCUUAUGAAUAAUGUGAAAAAUUGAUUUAUUUACAUAAUAAAUGCCUAGAUUCUCAUGUUUUAUGAUGAAUAUUUGAAAUAUAUAUAUUGAGAAGUUAAUUUGAUACAUUAUUUGUAAUAAAUUUCAUGUAAAUUAUCAUAUUUUCAAUAUUAUCGUAGUAGCGUCUAUUCAUGAUUGUUUCAACAAUCAGCGUACCGGCAACGCAAUAUUUAUAAAAAAUACCUUGAUUAAAUCGUAAAAAUAUACAUAUUUCAAUAUUAUCAUUGUAACUUAUUGGUUAAAUAAGAUACUCAGAUAUAAUUUCUUCCUAUCAACUACAUUGCUUUUCAAUAAUAUUCAAUAAUUAAUUAACAGGAUAAUUUCAGGAUAAAAAUCCAGAGAGUUUAAUGCAAGUUGAGCUGUCAUCAAUAUCGUUAAGUGGCUCCGUUUGCACGAAUUCUGGCAAUCUUCAUGUGAAGAGCUAAUAUUCCCAACAGCACCGGAUGAUCCAGUUUGUCCCUGAAGACUUCUCAUCGUAGCAGUAACAUUAGCAUUGCCUCCAUUACCGGUUGUGUCUUGCAGCCUGUAAAAAGAGUCAAGGUAUUCGAGAAUACUCAGCCUAUGUUUUGACAUAAUGCGACCUUGUAAGAUAAUCCUUUAAACGACGGAUGCGGGUGGUCUAAGUCACUUCGUCACCGAAUUUUGUUAAAACUCAUCGGCAGAAUAAAACGAAUUAUGGAAAAAACAGACAAAAGAAUUAGUCAAGAUGUAUAAACAGUUCUGAAAAUUUCCUUUUAAACAAUAUGCAACUAAAGAAGUGGAAGAAGAAUGUCAUGGAUGACAUACUGGAAAACUUAGAGCUGUACAUUUCUUAAUCUUCCGGGUGUAGACACUGGCAAUAUGGUGAGACUUCUUUGUGCCUGAAAUACGGUCUCGGAUCCUGCACGAUGUGGCAUCUGUAAUAACAAGCGAUGAAGUCUUGUUCUUUCAACCGUUUCCCUUCGUGAACGUCGUCGUCGUCGUCAUCAUCAUCAUCAUCAUCAUCUUCGUCGAUGUCAACUUGACGCAUUCAUCUGAACAACCUUGGUGAGUACUUUACAAGUACCUUGCACGAGUUUACCUUAUUUAUGGAAAUUCCACAUGAAUUUCAUACUUUAACAAUAAUGAUCAUUUAAAUGAGAGAAAAUUAGCACAAAGAUAACAGUCAUAUUUCAAGUAAAUUAUGCUGAGCAAGAAUUUUUAUGAAGUAUCAAAAACUUUCGUAUGAGCUUGAAGGAAAAGAUAAUGUUCUUGGAGUAUCAUUAAAAUAGCGAUGAUAAUUUAUGAAUGGAGAAAGAAUAGAAAAUAUAUAAGUAAAAGAGAAAAAGUGAGACAGGUAUAUGUAGAGUAGUAAAGUUUGAAUGAAUAGUACGAGGCGCUUAGUAGUAUUGUUUUGGUUAUUUUGGCAAACCUAACACAACACUGCUUGUUGUUUAACAAAAUAAAUGAUGUCGUCGCUACGCUUUUUUUUCUACUCCUCAUCGUGAUCCCAUUACUUAACGUGUAUGUAUGAAAACAAAUUUGAUCAGUUGUUUAGGAGUAUGCAAAGUUAGAUAGUUUUUUUUUCUAUCUAAUUGAUAAUCAUAAUAUAGAUAUAAGUACAUUAAAAAUAAAUUAACUAUGUAAA